rnacentral:rRNA from 1 species
GCGCUCCUACGGGGCGCAGCAGUGAGGAAUAUUGGUCAAUGGACGCAAGUCUGAACCAGCCAUGCCGCGUGCAGGAUGACGGCUCUAUGAGUUGUAAACUGCUUUUGUACCGGGGUAAAAUGCCUUACGAGUAGGGAUUUGAAAGUACGGUACGAAUAAGGAUCGGCUAACUCCGUGCCAGCAGCCGCGGUAAUACGGAGGAUCCGAGCGUUAUCCGGAUUCAUUGGGUUUAAAGGGUGCGUAGGUUGUUUUAUAAGUUAGCGGUGAAAUACCGAUGCUCACCAUCGGGGCUGCCGCUAAUACUG